rnacentral:lncRNA from 1 species
CGCAGCUUUAUACGACCGCAGAGGUUGAACCUUGAACGGUUGGGGCAAGUAUGGACACAACAUUCAAGCUGGAUUCAGCUCUAAAUUUGGAUUGUGAUUAAAUAGUUGACACAGCAUAGGUUUCUGACACAGAAUGAAUGUGGUCUAAUGAACUUAAAAUAUUUUUUUUGCGCUUGAGCAAUUCACUAUGCUGUUGAAUAUUAAUC